rnacentral:rRNA from 1 species
GGGCUACACACGUGCUACAAUGGCCGGCACAAUGGGCUGCCAACCCGCGAGGGUGAGCGAAUCCCUAAAGCCGGUCCCAGUUCGGAUUGGAGGCUGCAACCCGCCUCCAUGAAGUCGGAGUUGCUAGUAAUCGCGGAUCAGCACGCCGCGGUGAAUGCGUUCCCGGGCCUUGUACACACCGCCCGUCACACCACCCGAGUCGAUUGCACCCGAAGUCGUCGGCCUAACCUUUUAGGAGGGAGACGCCGAAGGUGUGGUUGGUAAGGGGGGUGAAGUCGUAACAAGGUAGCCGUACCGGAAGGUGCGGCUGGAUCACCUCCUUUCUAGGGAGA